rnacentral:misc_RNA from 1 species
ACCACUGCGGCGAACGGU